GCUGGGUGUGGUGGCGCACACCUGUAAUCCCAGCUACUCUAGAGGCUGAGACAGAGAAUUGUAAGUUCGAGGACAGCCCAGGAAACUUAGCAAGACCCUGCCUCAA
rnacentral:sRNA from 1 species